UAAGAAUUUAAAAGUCGAACAGACUUAUUUAUUAAGAGUACUGCUUCUUAAAAUUUUCUUAAUUCAACAUCGAGGUCGCAAAAUUCAAUAUAAAUACGGACUCCCCAUUGAAAUUACGCUGUUAUCCCUAAGGUAACUUAAUCUUGAUUCUUUUUUAAGGAUCUAAAAUCACAUAAAUAAAUGAAUAUAAAAACUAAAGUUAUUAUUUAACUGCCACCCCAGCAAAAUAUAAAUUUAUAUUAAUAUAUGUAUAUUUAUAUUUUAAAAAUAUAUAAUACAAAAAUAUAUAAAGUUCUAUAGGGUCUUAUCGUCCCAAUAAACUAAUAAAGCAUUUUAACUUUAAAUUUAAAUUUUAAUAUUAAAAAAAAUAAAAUAUAAUUCACAUACAUCCAUUCAUACAAGCCUUCAAUUAAAAAACUAAUUACUAUGCUACCUUUGCACAGUCAAAAUACUGCAGCCAUUUAGAAAUGUAAACCAUAGGGCAGAAGAUACUUUUUAUAUAACCA
rnacentral:rRNA from 1 species